GAUGAAGAACGUAGCGAAAUGCGAUAAGUAAUGUGAAUUGCAGAAUUCAGUGAAUCAUCGAAUCUUUGAACGCAUCUUGCGCUCCUUGGUAUUCUGAGGAGCAUGCCUGUUUGAGUGUCAUUAAAUUCUCAACUACACUGACUUUGAAUUGGUGUGGCUUGGAUUUGGGUGGGAAAAUUGUUGUGGGCUUUUUGUAUAGUCUGCUCCCCUGAAAUUGAUUAGCGGUACCUUUGUGGAACUGUCUACAGGUGUGAUAAUUAUCUACAUCCUAGACAUCUGCUGGAAUGCUGCUUUCUAAACCUUACUUGUAUUGACAAUCUUGACCUCAAAUCAGGUAGGACUACCCGCUGAACUUAAGCAUAUCAUAAGCGGAGGA
rnacentral:misc_RNA from 1 species